AGCAGCCGCGGUAAUUCCAGCUCCAAUAGCGUAUAUUAAAGUUGUUGCAGUUAAAAAGCUCGUAGUUGAAUUUCGGGGUUAGUAGGUUGGUCAUGCCUCUGGUAUGUACUGGUCUCACUGAUUCCUCCUUUCUGAUGAGCCGUAAUGCCAUUAAUUUGGUGUCGUGGAGAAUCAGGACUGUUACCUUGAAAAAAUUGAGUGUUUAUAGCAGGCUAACGCUUGAAUACAUUAGCAUGGAAUAAUGAAAUAGGACGUUCGACCCUAUUUUGUUGGUUUCUAGGAUCGACGUAAUGAUUAAUAGGGAUAGUUGGGGGCAUUAGUAUUCAAUUGUCAGAGGUGAAAUUCUUGGAUUUAUUGAGGACUAACUACUGCGAAAGCAUUUGCCAAGGAUGUUUUCAUUAAUC
rnacentral:rRNA from 1 species